CCCCUCUUAGUGUUACACCUGGAGAGUUUCCAGUCCUCUACCAGUCUCAACUAUGGGAAGGAGAGUCAAGCAGAGGUCUACCCAUUCCAUUCCUAGCUUAGGCAGUGGCUAACGAGUGGAAGACAAUCUACUACAAUU